GAUGAAGAACGCAGCGAAAUGCGAUAAGUAGUGUGAAUUGCAGAAUUCAGUGAAUCAUCGAAUCUUUGAACGCACAUUGUGCCUCCUGGUAUUCCGGGAGGCAUGCCUGUUCGAGCGUCAUUAAAAUCACUCAAGCUUAGGUUUGCCUAUUGCUUGGUCUUGAAGAUGGAAGCUAAGUAAUUAGAAUCCUCUUCGAAAUCCAAUGGCGAAGACCCUUGCUCUCCCAAGUGUAGUAAUAACUUAUUCACUGAAGGAAGCGAGUAAUCUUCCGCCGUAACCCCCAUAUUUUCUAUGAUUGACCUCGGAUCAGGUAGGGAUACCCGCUGAACUUAAGCAUAUCAAUAAGCGGAGGA
rnacentral:misc_RNA from 1 species